CUUUCCCUCUCUCUUCAGGAAGCAGACCUGAAGACUGGAUUGUGAACUUUUACUAACUUUCCCCCCUCCCCUGCCAAUUUUCACUGCUCAUAUCAGACCAGUCUUGGUUUUUUGUUUUGGGGCUUUUUUAAAAACCUAAUUUGCAUGCCCAUAUUCAGCUAAUUGGGCCCAACUGGUAGCAUGUAAAUUCGGGCUUCCGAAGGAGGUAGCAUUGGGAGGUAGGGAGGAAGAAAGAAAAUGCGGACUUCCAAGCCUGGCUCCUGACUGGCAGGGAAACUGGCCCCAGACAUUCCUGUUCUCUUCAGGGCAGAUGCUGAAGACUUGAGGGUCUGGCUCUCAGCCAGAAGAAGGAAGACUGCCUUCAAGACUCUGGGAAUGGACCCUUUGGAAGUGAGCUUACUCAAGCCAGCCUCCAGGAGUUCACCAGCAGCUGCAAGUAGAGAAUGGAUCAAGAACCCUGUUGGAGAUGGGAGAAGAUCUCUGGCUGCUUUGCCUGGUGCAUUUGGCUGAGUACCAUGAAGAAGUCAAUAGAACCAUGGAUUCGGCAGAAUCACUUCUUUAGAAUGAGGAAUAUGAAGGAUGGAUGGUUAACAACAAAAGCCACGGAUGUGAACCAGACCCUUUAGCCAUGGCUUAAGAAGACCUGCAGUGGAAAGGCAAGCGUGUCUAUCAGAAUGACAGCACCUCUAGACAUUUGGAUACAUACCCAGAGAUGCUCAGAGCUCUGCUGGGGAAGGUCUGCUGUCUGGAAAUGAAGGUUGUGGACGUGAGAGCUUCAAGGCCCUGGCUUCGAGAGCUACUGCAACAGGGACUAUGACUUAUUGCUUCCCACUCUGGAGCAUUCCCUUAGGAAUGAGGUCCACAGGCAUAUGCAGAAGCUGCUCCCCAAAUCUGUGAAGAACAGUAAGUUGUGGAUCACAAGUGAUGGACUACAGAAGCCUCCAGCUUUGGCGAGGGCCAUUGGUCAAAGACCACAGCUACUGGCCUCUGCAGUCUAAAACUGUGUUUGUAUUGGGAUUAUACAUGACAUGAAGGACUGGGCCAGCAUGUUCUGGAGAUUCUGGGCUCUCCUGAUGGCUGACUUGGCUCAAGGACUCUCAGGUGUCCUUUACAAACUGUUAUUAGACCGCAUGGACCAUCUGUCUUCCAAAUGUACCUUCCCUUUCUCCUUCACUGGCAUGGCUAUUUGAUGGCUCACUUAGCCAUCUCCAGCUCCUUCCCUGUUUUGUCUCAUUUUCACUAAUAAAACCCUUGCACAUUUGGUUCCUUCUUAGUGC
rnacentral:lncRNA from 1 species